AGGGCACGGUGCCGCGUGCGUACACAUGCAAGUCGACGAGAAAGUCCGCUUCGGUGGAUGAGUAAAGUGGCGAACGGGUGAGUAACGCGUGGGUAACCUGCCCUUGAAUCUGGAAUAACUUCGCGAAAGCGAGGCUAAUACCGGAUAUUGUCCCAGGGACCGUGGUCCUUGUGAUGAAAGAUGACCUCUUCACGAAAGUUGUCGUUCAGGGAGGGGCUCGCGUACCAUUAGCUAGUUGGUAGGGUAAUGGCCUACCAAGGCGAUGAUGGUUAGCUGGUCUGAGAGGAUGACCAGCCACACUGGCACUGAAACACGGGCCAGACUCCUACGGGAGGCAGCAGUGAGGAAUUUUGCGCAAUAGGGGAAACCCUGACGCAGCAACGCCGCGUGAGUGAAGAAGGCCCUCGGGUCGUAAAGCUCUGUCAAGUGGGAAAAAAGCUUACUGGUGAAUAGCCAGUAAGACUGAUGGUACCAUUGAAGGAAGCACCGGCUAACUCCGUGCCAGCAGCCGCGGUAAUACGGAGGGUGCAAGCGUUGUUCGGAAUUACUGGGCGUAAAGGGCGUGUAGGCGGUGUGGUAUGUCAGAUGUGAAAGCCCUGGGCUUAACCCAGGAAGUGCAUUUGAAACUGCCAUGCUUGAGUAUGGGAGAGGAGAGUGGAAUUCCCAGUGUAGAGGUGAAAUUCGUAGAUAUUGGGAGGAACACCCGUGGCGAAGGCGACUCUCUGGACCAAUACUGACGCUGAGGCGCGAAAGCGUGGGGAGCAAACAGGAUUAGAUACCCUGGUAGUCCACGCCGUAAACGAUGAGCACUAGGUGUAGCGGGUAUUGACCCCUGCUGUGCCGUAGCUAACGCAUUAAGUGCUCCGCCUGGGGAGUACGGCCGCAAGGCUAAAACUCAAAGGAAUUGACGGGGGCCCGCACAAGCGGUGGAGCAUGUGGUUCAAUUCGACGCAACGCGAAGAACCUUACCUGGAUUUGACAUCCUUUGACAGCCCCGGAAACGGGGUCUUCCCUGCUUGCAGGGACAGAGAUCACUAGUGAAUUCGCGCCGCUGCAGUCGA
rnacentral:rRNA from 1 species